GGAAAAGACGAUAGCAGAGUACCAGGAUGAAAUCUCCAGUUCAAAGAUGGAGAACGAACGUCUAGGGGGAAUUCUUCUGAAGUUGGGAGCAGGUGCAUCAAAUCUCUUACUAUGACAAUGGUGUCAUAGUAAUAUAGCCCGCGUUCACGGUGCUGUUUUCCUCACGCAGCCCACCCGCCCUUCUCCCGAACGUCGACGCAACAGCUGCUAGUCGGAGGCAAGACGCUGUUUCAGCAUCAAGCCAGCUGCAUGCCUACUCCCUAUCGCUACUUAUUUAUAUAUAUAUAUUGUGUAUAUAUAUUGCAUUGGAUGCCAUGUUCAUUUGGAAAAGUACUGUAAAAUAUUGUGUGUGCAAAAUAUAUCAGAUAACGAGGGCAGUCCUGGGGGGGGAGCAUGUGGGUCUGGGCAGAUGAGAUCAUUGUUUGGGUGUGUCUGUAAGUUUGUUUUCAGAGUGUAAUUUUAUUUUACAUUUUUAAAAAUGAAUAUUAUAUUAAAAAAUAAAGUUCAACAUUCACCUUU